rnacentral:rRNA from 1 species
UGGGGAAUCUUGGACAAUGGGGGCAACCCUGAUCCAGCGAUGCCGCGUGGGUGAAGAAGGCCUUCGGGUUGUAAAGCCCUUUAGGUUGGGACGAAGGUGAGUAGUUUAAGAGAUGACUCAUUUGACGGUACCGACAGAAUAAGCACCGGCAAACUCUGUGCCAGCAGCCGCGGUAAUACAAAGGGUGCGAGCGUUAAUCGGAAUAACUGGGCGUAAAGGGCGCGUAGGCGGUUUUGUGAGUGUGGUGUGAAAGCCCCGGGCUUAACCUGGGAAGUGCACCGCAAACGACAAGACUGGAGUAUACGAGAGGGUGGCGGAAUUUCCGGUGUAGCGGUGAAAUGCGUAGAGAUCGGAAGGAACGUCAAUGGCGAAGGCAGCCACCUGGCAUAAUACUGACGCUGAGGCGCGAAAGCGUGGGGAGCAAACAGG